UAUUGGAAAUAAAGAUAAUUAUGUUAAAUAUGGAUCGUUGUUAAUGGUCAAUGGUAUUUAUUUAAUAUUAUUAGAAAGAAUUAUUUUGGGUUGUUAAGUUAUAUAAUUGAGAGUAAAGGGCAUUUUUAUUAUAUUUAAGGUAACUUUUUUUAUUGUUGCCAGCUGACCAAGAUCGAAAGAGUGGGUUGAUUCGGUUUUAAAGUAUUCCGUCAUAGGAAGCUGAAAGACCUCAUGAACAGCAGGACAGAAAGGAUUGUUAAAUAUUUAAAUAUGUGAAAUUUAUGAAAAUAUAUAUGGAUAUAGACUUUUGUAAUAAAGUGUGUAUUAUUUAA